GGUCGCGCUUUCUUUGUUACCGGCUCAUGAAAAGCCGAUGGUACUCUCGCUGCGCUCGCAUUCCAUCACAGUGCGCGGAAGAAUUUUUUGAAAGUUGUGCUAUCACGUGCUGUAGUUCAUCUGCAAUUCUACGCUGUUGACGCUGGAGGCACCGUGCACCGACUGUCCUUCCUGCGGUACCUGUGCGAUGCGGCAGCAGCUGUCACGGAGACUCGUUUACCGAGCACGCCUAGAAAGGGAUGUCACGAUUUUGUGAGCCAGAGGAAUCUACACCACUUGGGAGCCUGCGGCACUUCUGCAGGCUGAACAGCGCGUCAAAGCAUCUGAUUUGCAUGCUGCGACAAGGUGUGUGCAAGGCGGUCACUGCCACUCACAUGAGAUGUCGGUACUCACUACUUCAUUCCUUGGAAGCGAUAUUCUUGGUCCCAACCAAGCAGCCCGGAAGAAAUCGGAGACAAAUAAAAUGUGCAAAG